CAAUGCGGGACUGUUAGUCUUGCAAUUGGAUUGAGAACAACGUACAACUCUUAUCGAUAAGCCAUUGGAGGGCAAGUCUGGUGCCAGCAGCCGCGGUAAUUCCAGCUCCAAUAGCGUAUAUUAACGUUGUUGCAGUUAAAAAGCUCGUAGUUGAAGUGAGGGAGUGUGUGUUCAUGAGAGCUAGUCUCGAGUGUUCACAACCUCCCCCCUCCAAUCGGUGUAGUGGGGUAUUCAGUUAUUUCACUACUCCUUUGGUCGUUUACUGUGAGAAAAUUAGAGUGUUCAAAGCGGGCGUUUGUUUGAAUAGAUUAGCAUGGAAUAAUGAUUGAAGGCUUUCGUGUUCGAUUUGAUUGGUUUGUUCAUGGAAGCAAGGUUAAAAGGAACAGUUGGGGGUAUUCAUAUUCACUAGUUAGAGGUGAAAUUCUCGGAUUUAUGGAAGAUGAACAGGUGCGAAAGCAUUUACCAAGGAUGUUUU
rnacentral:rRNA from 1 species